AUUGAACGCUGGCGGCAGGCUUAACACAUGCAAGUCGAGCGGAGAGAGGUAGCUUGCUACUGAUCUUAGCGGCGGACGGGUGAGUAAUGCUUAGGAAUCUGCCUAUUAGUGGGGGACAACAUUUCGAAAGGAAUGCUAAUACCGCAUACGUCCUACGGGCGAAGGCAGGGGAUCUUAGGACCUUGCGCUAAUAUAUGAGCCUAAGUCGGAUUAGCUAGUGGUCGGGGUAAAGGCCUACCAAGGCGACGAUCUGUAGCGGGUCUGAGAGGAUGAUCCGCCACACUGGGACGGAGACACGGCCCAGACUCCUACGGGAGGCAGCAGUGGGGAAUAUUGGACAAUGGGCGCAAGCCUGAUCCAGCCAUGCCGCGUGUGUGAAGAAGGCCUUAUGGUUGUAAAGCACUUUAAGCGAGGAGGAGGCUACUUUAGAUAAUACCUAGAGAUAGUGGACGUUACUCGCAGAAUAAGCACCGGCUAACUCUGUGCCAGCCGCCCGCCGUAAAAC
rnacentral:rRNA from 1 species